UCUGAUUCUGCAUUGUACCCAACCUGAACAAUCCCUGGGAGUAGAUCCGCUAUUCUGCUGUUGAAUACCCCACGUACAUUUUAUGAGUAAUAAACUGCUAAAGUCCCAAUCCAAAUACUAGGAAAUAUGCUCUGAGAGCUACAUGUUACAGAUUCUAUAAUGAAGAACUAUGUUUCUUUCAUUACCAAAAGGCGGAUGUUUAUCCGAUUAAAAAAGGCACACAACUGAUUAAUCACUAGCAUGUGAUCUGCAGCAAGCACUUGCUAUUCAAGCUUCGCUCACGUCUGUAGGAUAGCUCCCCAGGACUCUUAAAAAGGUCGCAAACUCCUGCAAAUAAAAGUAACAUGAGUCACUGUUCGCUUGACGCCAGAUAAAAACUACCAAGAAAUAUCACCUCCAAAUUUCUGAGAGCAUUCUGAGUUUUUGGAUCAGCCAUAGACGCCUCAAGGUCGACAUAAAACAGGUAGUCGAAGUACCUACUCAGCCAAGGAUCAAAUGGUUAGAAUUAGUGCUUUUCAUAUUUGGGUAACACUUCAUGAAACAAAAUUGAAUAAACAAGAGGGUUGUAGGGUUAUUAUCGAACUUGACGCGUGUGGAGAAAGCAUCAUCAGCUACACGAAAAGGCCUUUUCUUGUGUGGACGGCUUUCUAUCUUCACAUCAACAUACUGUUAGAGAGUUAUACAAAGCACAUGCAAGUGACGAAACAAAGCAAGGUUGUUUAAUACACCUUGGUGAGAUUGAUUUCCCUCAGUGCAAAAACUGCAAGUGCCUUGAAGAGCUGUCCAGGUCCUUCUUCAAGUGAAAACACAAUACUAGUCUGAAAACCAGAUGAUCAUGCAACAAAUCAACCGACUUUUGUUUUUCCCCUCUGUAUGGAGUGGAUGACUGGAAGGAAGAUGAAAGAGACUUCCCAUUGCAAUCUGUACCUUGAAUGGUUUAUCAACCCGAGGUAUAAUAGGUUCCCGAGCAAGCAUCAUAAAACGGGUGACAUUGACUUUUUCGUCCUAUAUAAGGUAAAUAAUGGACUUAUGGUGAGGAUAAAGAACAGAACACAAUGUCCCAUUUUGGCCUGAAAUCACGAUACCUGAAUAUUUUCAGCAAGAAUAUCCAGUCCAUAAAGUUCAGCAGCUAAUGAACUGGCAACAGCACCAGUAUCUUGGAGCAUUUGUUCUGCGACUAACUAUGAAACAAGCAUAUAGUGUUAUGGUAUGACAAUGACUUUACACCAUGAGUCACUUGAAAGAGUGAACCAAAUAUAUAGCUAUCCAAAGAUAAAUUCCAGGUGGAAGAGGAAGCAUCAUUCUACCUUUGCUGCACCAGCAGUGUCAUCAACAGCUUGUCUAUGUUCAAUUCCUAACUCUGUCAGCGUAUGCUCACAUUGCGCAAGAGCCUGAGAAUUUAAAUUAAUGUGCCUGUAAGGUUAUUACACAAACAAGUGAAAAAUAUCGAGACCACACUAUCCAAUAGGUUUUACCUGGGGAUGACUGAUGACAUUUCUUAGGUUUCCGAUCUUCACUCCACGAUUGGCUAACAAGCAAUGCCGAACUGCAAGGCGAACCUCUCCAACUAUGUGCAGCUCAUGCCGAAGUAAAAGGUCAUAAUUCCGAUGUAUA
rnacentral:lncRNA from 1 species